rfam:Heligmosomoides polygyrus genome assembly, scaffold: HPBE_scaffold0000355
CACCUGAUUGAUUCUGUCAGCGCCAUAUGCUCAGUUUAAAGAUUUAACCAUGCAUGUCGAGCUCAUCUCAAGAGAAACUGCGAACGGCUCAUUAGAGCAGAUGUCAUUUAUUCGGAACGACCUAUUGGAUAACUGUCGCAAUUCUGGAGCUAAUACAUGCAAAGAAACCCUAACUUUUGAAAGGGUGCAAUUAUUAGAGCGAACCAAUCACCUUCGUGUGCUGUUUGCUGACUCUGAAUAACGCAGCAUAUCGGCGGCUUGUCCUCUGAUAUCCCGAAAAAGUGUAUGCCCUAUCAACCUGAUGGCAGUCUAUUAGCAUACCAUGGUUAUUACGGGUAACGGAGAAUAAGGGUUCAACUCCGAAGAGGGAGCCUUAGAAACGGCUACCACAUCCAAGGAAGGCACAGGCGCGAAACUUAUCCAAUCUUGAAGAGAUGAGAUAGUGGCUAAAAAUAAGAAUACCAUUUCUAUCGAACGGUCAUUCCAAUGCGUUGAUCAUAGACCUUUUUUUAGAAUCCAGUGGAGGGCACGUCUGGUGUCAGCAGCCGCGGUAAUUCCAGCUCCACUAAUGUAAAUCGUCAUUGCUGCGGUUAAAAAGCUCGUAGUUGGAUCUAAGUCAUAUGCAGUGGUUCACCUUUGGUGUUAAUCGCAGUUGUGGUUAUAUGCUGGUUUUCUACUGGAGCUUCGACUCCUUUAGUAGCUAGCGAGUUUACUUUGAAUACAUUACAGUGCUCAGUACAAGCGUUUUCUUGAAUGGUUGAUCAUGGAAUAAUAAAAGAGGACUUCGGCUCUAUUUACUGGUUCAGGACCUGAAAUAAUGGUUAAGAGGAACAAUUCGGGGCAUUCGUGUCCCUGCGCGAGCGGUGAAAUUCGCGGACCGCAGGGGUCGCACUAAAGCAAAAGCAUUUGCCAAGAAUGUCUUCAUAAAUCAAGAACGAAAGUCAGAGGUUCGAAGGCGAUUAGAUACCGCCCUAGUUCUAACCAUAAACUAUGCUAUCUAGCGAUCCGAUGGGGUAUUAUUGCCUUGUCGAGGAGCUUCUCGGAAACGAAAAGCUUUCGGUUCCUGGGGUAGUAUGGUGCAAAGCUGAAACUUAAAGAAAUUGACGGAAUGGCACCACCAGGAGUGGAGCGUGCGGCUUAAUUUGAGUCAACACGGGAAAACUCACCCGGCCCGGACACCGCAAAGAUUAACAGAUUGGAAACUUUUGCUCGAUUUGGUAGUUGGCGAUGGAUGGCGGUUCUUAGCUGGUGGUACGAUUUGUCUGAUUCAUUCCGAUAACGAUCGAGACUCUAGCUGCUAAAUAGUGGUUGGAUUCUCAAGUCCAGUCUACUUCUUAAAGGAAUAAGCGGUGUCCGCACGAGAUUGAGCGAUAACAGUCUGUGAUGCCCUUAGAUGUCCGGGGCUGCACGCGCGUUACAGUGGAAGAAUCAGCUUGCCUAUCAUUGCCGAAAGGCAUUGUAAACUGUUGAAACUCUUCCGUGACCGGGAUAAGGAAUUGUAAUUAUUUAUCUUGAGCGAGGAAUUCCUAGUAAGUGUGAUACAUCAGCUCAAGCUGCCAUUUGCACACACCGCCCAUCGCUGUCCAGGACUGAGCUGUCUCAAGACGACCGCGGACUGCUGUAUCGAGACCUUCGGGUCCCGCUGUGCGGCGGCAAACAGUUCAAUCGCAGUGGCUUGAACCGGGUAAAAGUCGUAACAAGGUAUCUGUAGGUGAACCUGCAGAUGCACCAUCG